rnacentral:tRNA from 1 species
CGAAGUGGUGAAAUUGGUAUACGCAGUGGAUUCAAAAUCCUCCGAGCUUUUGCUCGUGCCGGUUCGAGUCCGGCCUUCGGC